UACGUAGGGUGCGAGCGUUAAUCGGAAUUACUGGGCGUAAAGCGUGCGCAGGCGGUUUUGUAAGCCAGAUGUGAAAUCCCCGGGCUUAACCUGGGAAUGGCAUUUGGGACUGCAAGGCUUGAGUACGGCAGAGGAGACUGGAAUUCCUGGUGUAGCAGUGAAAUGCGUAGAUAUCAGGAGGAACACCGAUGGCGAAGGCAGGUCUCUGGGCUGACACUGACGCUCAUGCACGAAAGCGUGGGGAGCAAACAGG
rnacentral:rRNA from 1 species